GGGCGGUUAGCUCAGCGGGAGAGCACUACCCUGACACGGUAGGGGUCACUGGUUCAAUCCCAGUACCGCCCACCA
rnacentral:tRNA from 1 species